rnacentral:ncRNA from 1 species
AAGAACGCAUCCGGGUGUUCGACUCAUUUGUUGUGCCUGAAAUCCAACCAGCCCCUCUCGAUAUCUUGAUCGAUCGAGAGGAAGCACUGGGUCGGAAGGGCACAGCAAGGAGUCGAUCUGAGAUAUACCGGCGAACUUGAUCUGGAUAAUACCAGCGAAAGGACAUGCUUCUUUGGCUUCC